GCAUAUCAAUAAGCGGAGGAAAAGAAACCAACAGGGAUUGCCUCAGUAACGGCGAGUGAAGCGGCAUCAGCUCAAAUUUGAAAUCUGGCGUCUUCGGCGUCCGAGUUGUAAUUUGUAGAGAGUGUCUCGGGUGGAGCACCGGUCCAAGUCCCUUGGAACAGGAUAUCAUAGAGGGUGAGAAUCCCGUAUCCGGCCGGCCCCCUCCCCCGCUGUGAGACCUCUUCGACGAGUCGAGUUGUUUGGGAAUGCAGCUCUAAAUUGGAGGUAAAUUCCUUCUAAAGCUAAAUACUGGCCAGAGACCGAUAGCGCACAAGUAGAGUGAUCGAAAGAUGAAAAGCACUUUGAAAAGAGAGUCAAACAGUACGUGAAAUUGUUGAAAGGGAAGCGUAUGCGGCCAGACUUGUCCCCAGUUGCUCCGCUCGUCUUUUGGCGGGUGUACUCUUCUGGGGCCAGGCCAGCAUCGGUUUGGGCGGUCGGAUAAAGACGUCAGGAAUGUGGCCCCCCUCGGGGGGUGUUAUAGCCUGGCGUGUAAUGCGAUCAGCCCGGACCGAGGCCCGCGUUCUGCUAGGAUGCUGGCGUAAUGGCCGUAUACGGCCCGUCUUGAAACACGGACCAAGGAGUGCAACAUCUAUGCGAGUGUUUGGGUGUCAAGCCCGGACGCGAAAUGAAAGUGAACGGAGGUGGGAGCUUUGGCGCACCAUCGACCGAUCCUGAUGUCUUCGGAAGGAUUUGAGUAAGAGCAUAGCUGAUGCGACCCGAAAGAUGGUGAACUAUGCGUGAAUAGGGUGAAGCCAGAGGAAACUCUGGUGGAGGCUCGCAGCGGUUCUGACGUGCAAAUCGAUCGUCAAAUUUGCGUAUAGGGGCGAAAGACUAAUCGAACCAUUUAGUAGCUGGUUCCUGCCGAAGU
rnacentral:rRNA from 2 species